UUAAAAAAUAAACCAGAAAGCCAAAUUCAACAACACAUCAAAAAUUAAUUAAAUUAUUCUUAAGAUAUUUAGAACACCAAUUUCUGAGGAUAAAUUUUAUUUAUCAGGGAAAACAAAGAUCACAAGCAGCCCUGGAGCUGAGGAAUCUCUUUGAUUUUUAGUAAAAUUUGCAACUCCACAGCUUUCUGGUCAACCUUGCACUUCUCUGUAAUCUCCUCUUUUUUUCUUUUCUUCUUUGUUGAAGAUCUUACCUUCCCAUUGUCUAGGCUUCCACGGCUGCUUCUUCUUGAAGUAUGAGUAAGAUGUUUUAGGAUUUUCACAUUGCUGGUAACAAUUUUUGUGGAGGUGGCAAUGACAAAUUCCUUGUGUGUUCUUCAUAGAAGAACUCAAUUGAGAACUAGAGAUCCAGUCACAAGUAAGGAGCCACUGCCCAGCUGCUUCAGGAAAACCACCCUCUUGCCUCUGUGGUGCCCAGGGAAGAGGGGCAAAAUGGUCCUGGGAGUGAUGCUGCCUCGCCGUUUUCUCUGUGCUGCCUGAAGGAUUUUUGGCUGUAGCUCAACAGCUUUCAGGGCACAUCUUCAGUAGGAUAAAUCUAUAGAUUUUGCAAAGUUUAACCACCUGAGUACCUUCAAUUUUGUCACCACCAACUGAUUUUGUGUUACAAUAGUUGCAAACACCUCCUUUUUCUUUUGAAUCUUUAAUUUACUGGCUGAGUACUUCCUCUUGUACAUGAUGUUUCUGCAAUACAUACAGAUUGAGAAUGUCUGCCAAUUCCUCUGACAAAGACAGGAUUUCAGCUGCAAUGAAGCUUCCUUUUCUUGGCCUUUUUGUUACCCUUUUUCACCUUGCCAUUAGCAUCAGCCUUCUUGGCUUCAGGUUUCUUCUCCUUAGUGUCCAGCUUCUCAACUUUUUCACCCACCAUCUUGCAAGAUGGGAAAGAGAACUUGCUAGUACUUUCUUAAGGAUUUUUUCUUUUUUGCAUCUAUUUUCAUAAAGGAUAUUGACCUGUAGUUUUCUUUUUGUUGUGUCCUUCUCUGAUUUUGUAUCAGGGAAAUGAUGGCCCAAUGGAAUAAGACUAGAAAUAUUUCCUUCUCUUCCAUUUUUUAAAAAGAGUUUCAGUAGAAUUGGUAUUAGUUCUUCUUUAAAUGUUUAGUAGAAUCCAACAGUGAGGCCAUGAGGUUCUAGGCUGUUCUUUGAUGGUACACUUUUUAUUACAGCUUUGCUCUCAUUACUCAUUAUGGGUUUAUUGAGGUUUUCUAUAUUUUUAUGGUUUAAUCUUGGUAGGUUGCUGUAUCCAGGAAUUUAUCCAUUUCUUCUAAGUUUUCAAAUUUGUUGGCAUAUAGUUGUUUACAAUAAUCUCUAAUGAUCCUUUGCAUUUUUGCCAUCUCUGUUGUUUCUGAUUGUUUAUUUAGCUCUUCUCUCUUUUUUCUUCGUAGUCUAGCUAAUGGUUCGGCGAUUUUAUCUUUAAAAAAAAAAAAAAAAAAAAAAAACCUUUUCAUUUAAUUGAUCUUCCAUAAUACUUUUUAGUCUCAGUUUCAUUUAUUUCUGCUCUAAUCUUUAUUAUUUCCUUCCUUCUACUAAUUUUGGUUUGUUUUCGUGUUUGUUUUUCUAGUUUCUUGAGGUGCAUUAUAAAGUUGUUUAUUUGAGGUCGUUCUACUCUUUCGAGAUAGGUGUUUAUGGCUAUAAACUUCCCUCUUAGUACUGCUUUGCUUUAUCCCACAGAUUUUUGGUAUAUUGUAUUUUCCUUUUCAUUAAUUUCAAAAACUUUUAAAUUUCCUUCUGAAUUUAUUCAUUGAUCCAGUUGUCUUUCAUGGGCAUGUUGUUUAAUUUCCACUUGUUUGUGAAGCUUUUGAGGUUUCUCUUAUUAUUGAUUUCUAGUUUUAUUCCACUGUGGCCAGAAAAGAUACUUGAUAUGAUUUCUACUGUUUAAAAUUUGUUCAGGCUUGUUUUGCGGCCUAAGAUAUGGUCUGUUCUGGAGAAUGUUCCAUGUGCUG